rnacentral:rRNA from 1 species
GGGGAAUAUUGGGCAAUGGGCGCAAGCCUGACCCAGCAACGCCGCGUGAAGGAAGAAGGCUUUCGGGUUGUAAACUUCUUUUACCAGGGACGAAACAAAUGACGGUACCUGGUGAAUAAGCCACGGCUAACUACGUGCCAGCAGCCGCGGUAAUACGUAGGUGGCGAGCGUUAUCCGGAUUUAUUGGGUGUAAAGGGCGUGUAGGCGGGACAGCAAGUCAGAUGUGAAAACCAGAGGCUCAACCUCUGGCCUGCAUUUGAAACUGUUGUUCUUGAGUGUCGGAGAGGUAAUCGGAAUUCCGUGUGUAGCGGUGAAAUGCGUAGAUAUACGGAGGAACACCAGUGGCGAAGGCGGAUUACUGGACGAUAACUGACGCUGAGGCGCGAAAGCGUGGGGAGCAAAC